rnacentral:rRNA from 1 species
AUUGAACGCUGGCGGCAGGCCUAACACAUGCAAGUCGAGCGGAUGAAGGGAGCUUGCUCCUGGAUUCAGCGGCGGACGGGUGAGUAAUGCCUAGGAAUCUGCCUGGUAGUGGGGGAUAACGUCCGGAAACGGGCGCUAAUACCGCAUACGUCCUGAGGGAGAAAGUGGGGGAUCUUCGGACCUCACGCUAUCAGAUGAGCCUAGGUCGGAUUAGCUAGUUGGUGGGGUAAAGGCCUACCAAGGCGACGAUCCGUAACUGGUCUGAGAGGGUGAUCAGUCACACUGGAACUGAGACACGGUCCAGACUCCUACGGGAGGCAGCAGUGGGGAAUAUUGGACAAUGGGCGAAAACCUGAUCCAGCCAUGCCGCGUGUGUGAAGAAGGUCUUCGGAGUGUAAAGCACUUUAAGUUGGGAGGAAGGGCAGUAAGUUAAUACCUUGCUGUUUUGACGUUACCAACAGAAUAAGCACCGGCUAACUUCGUG